UGGGGAAUUUUGGACAAUGGGCGAAAGCCUGAUCCAGCAAUGCCGCGUGUGUGAAGAAGGCCUUCGGGUUGUAAAGCACUUUUGUCCGGAAAGAAAUCCUUGGCUCUAAUACAGUCGGGGGAUGACGGUACCGGAAGAAUAAGCACCGGCUAACUACGUGCCAGCAGCCGCGGUAAUACGUAGGGUGCAAGCGUUAAUCGGAAUUACUGGGCGUAAAGCGUGCGCAGGCGGUUUGCUAAGACCGAUGUGAAAUCCCCGGGCUCAACCUGGGAACUGCAUUGGUGACUGGCAGGCUAGAGUAUGGCAGAGGGGGGUAGAAUUCCACGUGUAGCAGUGAAAUGCGUAGAGAUGUGGAGGAAUACCGAUGGCGAAGGCAGCCCCCUGGGCCAAUACUGACGCUCAUGCACGAAAGGCGUGGGGAGCAAACAGGAUUAGAUACCCUGGUAGUCCACGCCCUAAACGAUGUCAACUAGUUGUUGGGGAUUCAUUUCCUUAGUAACGUAGCUAACGCGUGAAGUUGACCGCCUGGGGGAGUACGGUCGCAAGAUUAAAACUUAAAUGAAUUGAC
rnacentral:rRNA from 1 species